AUUGAACGCUGGCGGCAGGCCUAACACAUGCAAGUCGCGCGAGCGGCGGACGGGUGAGUAAUGUCUGGGAAACUGCAUGAUGGAGGGGGUUAACUACUGGAAAAGGUAGCUAAUACCGCAUCCCAUCAGAUGUGCCCAGAUGGGACUAUCUAGUAGGUGGGGUACCGGCUCACCUAGGCGACGAUCCCUAACUGGUCUGAGAGGAUGACCAGCCACACUGUAACUGAGACACGGUCCAGACUCCUACGGGAAGCAUCAGUGGGGAAUAUUGCACAAUGGGCGCAAGCCUGAUGCAGCAAUGCCGCGUGUAUGAAGAAGGCCUUCGGGUUGUAAAGUACUUUCAGCUGGGAGGCGUUACUCGCAGAAGAAGCACCGGCUAACUCCGUGCCAGCAGCCGCGGUAAUAC
rnacentral:rRNA from 1 species